UGAGGAAUAUUGGUCAAUGGACGCAAGUCUGAACCAGCCAAGUAGCGUGCAGGAUGACGGCCCUAUGGGUUGUAAACUGCUUUUAUAUGGGGAUAAAGUGGGGAACGUGUUCCCUUUUGCAGGUACCAUAUGAAUAAGGACCGGCUAAUUCCGUGCCAGCAGCCGCGGUAAUACGGAAGGUUCGGGCGUUAUCCGGAUUUAUUGGGUUUAAAGGGAGCGUAGGCCGUUUGGUAAGCGUGUUGUGAAAUGUAGGAGCUCAACUUCUAGAUUGCAGCGCGAACUGUCAGACUUGAGUGCGCACAACGUAGGCGGAAUUCAUGGUGUAGCGGUGAAAUGCUUAGAUAUGACGAAGAACUCCGAUUGCGAAGGCAGCUUGCGGGAGCAAAACUGACGCUGAAGCUCGAAAGUGCGGGUAUCGAACAGG
rnacentral:rRNA from 1 species